ACCCCACCUCCCACCUAAAAAACUCCCAAGCUGCCCUACCCCUCUUACAGAGGGAUUCUGGGAACAUCAGAGCAGCAGAACGAAGCUCUGUAAAUCAGCUCCCCUAUGAACACAAUGCGUGAUUACGCUGACAGCAGAACCUGCCAUGCAGGGUAUAAAGGACAAAGCUUCCUCUCGCUGUACAAACCUGCCCAGAAGCACAACAGUUCUCAGAGUUGCCUGACAGGCUUGUGUGCUCCAUGACUGGGUCCAGACAUCCUUCUUCUGAUGAGGAGUUGGGUCCUAAUGAAAGAACAGCCCGAGUUACAUUGUUACUCUUAUAAACAAUGCUCGUUUUCCCCCACCAAGCUCAUCAGCUACUCUUUGCUCCAAUCUGAAAGGCUCAGUCCGCGCUGGAAGCUCACAACAAGCGUGUCUAACUGAGCCAACCCCAUCCAUAUUUCAGCGGGCAGCACUGCCAGGCUUGACAAACACUUCCUCAGUGGUCCUCACAGGAGCGCAGCGCUGCAUCGGGUCCAAGACACAAUGAAGAGGAGCAGCUGUGAGGGACCCUGAUGGAUGGGAUAGUUUGUAUAAGCAGGCCCAAAGAGCAUUGUUCCUGUCGACUGCAUUUCUAACACAGUCCAUCACUCUGACACAAGGUUUUCCUGGCGUUUCUUUCUUUUACAGAAUGCUUUGAUGAACAGAAAGUUCAAAGAAACAACAUUUAUUUGAAAUAUAGAUUUUUGUUAAUGUCUUCACUGUCACUUUUGAUCAGUUUUCAAUUUAUUUGCAGACAUUUACGCACAACUAUUAACUAAUAAAUAAAAUAAAAUAAAAUAUACAAGCCGUUCAAUAUGUGAAAUUCCUGCUUUAAGAGGAAAAGUUGCAUUUGAGCUAGCUGUAUAUCAUAGUAAGUUUAAAGAGGCAAAGUUGUGUUUCACACUUUAUUCAUAGAAAAGCACUGAAAUUCAACACAAAUCAUAUAAAAUGGUAGUAGCAUUACAUAAAUAGUAAUAAAUUUUUGUUUAUAGACAUUAGCUCAAGAGGUUGCACAAACAGAAAGUGUUGUUGAACUAUACUUUUGUGGCAACGAAUACUGGAUACCUUUUUAUAAUUCAGUAGCACAAAGAGGCGACAAACACUUUCCCUUAAAUUAAAACGAAACAAAAUCAAACAGUAGAUGAACUAGUGAACAAUCUCUACCAGCGGUUAUUUUUUUUUUUCCUUCUAAACUCUAGGACAGAUCAAAACACUGGUACAGUUAACACAUACAGACACUUAAAGAGUAUGGAAGAGAGAAAUCAAAAGCCAGAGGAGGUUAUUCUCUUUUUGCAAUGCCAUUGGACCAACUAGUUAGCUACAGAAGAUGCUCGCUUUUUUUCUUAUUAUAUUUAUAUAUUUUUAAUUUAACAGGCAGCACUAUUAUCAUCCUGCAGAUGUCUUAAAAAAAAAACAAAGUAAAAAAUCCCUAAUCUGUGAGCUUUCUCUAGGGCUCCCUGAAAGAGCCGGGUGAGAAAUAAAGGCUGCAUUAUGUAACUAACACCUUGUGGUUCAAGUAUGCCACAGUUGAUGCAACUAGAAUGCAUUUUGAGAAGAAAAAAAAAACCACGGACCAAAAGUGGAAACCAGCAAACCAUUUAAAUGAAAGUGACCAACCCUAACCAGCAACAUAGAGAAAUCUCCUCAAGAUUUAGCCAUUAAUGAAGCAUCUAUCAAAGUCUCGAUUAGGCAAUGGUACGUCGCAACCUCAAAACAGACCUCAUUGCCCUCAAAAAGCCCCAAUAUAAGAUAAUCACGACCCUAAAGUAUGUGGACCGUGUCAAAGCGAAGGAGAAUAGAACAGCAGAUGCCCCGUUUCCUUGUUCGGGCCAGUUGAAGGUGUAGGUCCGUUUUCUCUGUGCUGUACUCCACUCCAUUGGCAACACAAUGUCCUGAAACACAUGCAGUGCUUUCAGAGAAGACUAUAAGGCUUCAAAGUAAAGAGUUGUACGUAGAUCAAAGGCAAAGUCCAUCCAAACUCGAAGCUCGUGCAGAUUACUUAUAAAAUACAAACGGUUGAAUUUUGGGAGCGCGCCCCCAACCCCCGAGCCAAACGAGGAGAAAAGAUGGAGGAAGAUCGGGGUGAAGAGGGCAAAUCGUGAAGUGGUUCUGCAUAGUCUGUUCAUAAACAUUUGACUUCUCCUCUUCUUCUUCUUUACAUGCUUCCUCUUGCAAAAAUGUAUUACAAAAAAAACGUAAAUCAGAAAUGUACACAGGAGCACCUGAGAAAUGUUUCUGAAGUCUUUCCUCUUAGGGGUCGUCACAUUCCCAGCCCGACAAAUUCAA